GCGUCGGGCGGGGCAGGUCCCCACUGGUUGGGCCAUUGAGGAUUCCAGUUGCCGAUGGGCUGGUGGCUAAGUCUGGGAAUUCAAAGAGCGAUGAAUCUGAUAGAGAUGACAGAGAGGAUUCCCAACAAGAUAUGGCAGAAUUCUGACUGUGGCGAUUGAAAGAGAGAGGAGAGUCAAUGAUACUGUCAAGGUUAUAGCCUUGAGGACUAGAAGGGAGAUGACAUUUUCAACUUAGGAAAGCUCCCUCCCAGGCCCAUGAAAGCAUGAAAAGAGUUGAGAAUCCAGAACUGAUUCUUGAAGAACGUGG